rnacentral:rRNA from 1 species
GAUGAACGCUGGCGGCGUGCCUAAUACAUGCAAGUCGAGCGAACGGACGAGAAGCUUGCUUCUCUGAUGUUAGCGGCGGACGGGUGAGUAACACGUGGAUAACCUACCUAUAAGACUGGGAUAACUUCGGGAAACCGGAGCUAAUACCGGAUGAUAUUUUGAACCGCAUGGUUCAAUAGUGAAAGACGGUCUUGCUGUCACUUAUAGAUGGAUCCGCGCUGCAUUAGCUAGUUGGUAAGGUAACGGCUUACCAAGGCAACGAUGCAUAGCCGACCUGAGAGGGUGAUCGGCCACACGGGAACUGAGACACGGUCCAGACUCCUACGGGAGGCAGCAGUAGGGAAUCUUCCGCAAUGGGCGAAAGCCUGACGGAGCAACGCCGCGUGAGUGAUGAAGGUCUUCGGAUCGUAAAACUCUGUUAUUAGGGAAGAACAUAUGUGUAAGUAACUGUGCACAUCUUGACGGUACCUAAUCAGAAAGCCACGGCUAACUACGUG